ACACCGUUGGUGAAGUGGUUAUCAUGCUUGCCUUCCAUGAGAAAUUGCAAAUUGGAUCAGCAAGCGGCUCGGGUUCGAUUCCCGAACGGUGUA